rnacentral:rRNA from 1 species
UACGAAGGGGGCUAGCGUUGCUCGGAAUCACUGGGCGUAAAGGGCGCGUAGGCGGAUUUUUAAGUCAGGGGUGAAAGCCCGAGGCUCAACCUCGGAACUGCCUUUGAUACUGGGAAUCUUGAGACCGGUAGAGGUAAGUGGAACUGCGAGUGUAGAGGUGAAAUUCGUAGAUAUUCGCAAGAACACCAGUGGCGAAGGCGGCUUACUGGACCGGUUCUGACGCUGAGGCGCGAAAGCGUGGGGAGCAAACAGG